GAUGAACGCUGGCGGCGUGCCUAAUACAUGCAAGUCGAGCGAACGGACGAGAAGCUUGCUUCUCUGAUGUUAGCGGCGGACGGGUGAGUAACACGUGGAUAACCUACCUAUAAGACUGGGAUAACUUCGGGAAACCGGAGCUAAUACCGGAUAAUAUUUUGAACCGCAUGGUUCAAAAGUGAAAGACGGUCUUGCUGUCACUUAUAGAUGGAUCCGCGCUGCAUUAGCUAGUUGGUAAGGUAACGGCUUACCAAGGCAACGAUGCAUAGCCGACCUG
rnacentral:rRNA from 1 species